rnacentral:rRNA from 1 species
GAUGAACGCUGGCGGCGUGCCUAAUACAUGCAAGUCGAGCGAACAGACGAGGAGCUUGCUCCUCUGACGUUAGCGGCGGACGGGUGAGUAACACGUGGAUAACCUACCUAUAAGACGGGGAUAACUUCGGGAAACCGGAGCUAAUACCGGAUAAUAUAUUGAACCGCAUGGUUCAAUAGUGAAAGACGGUUUUGCUGUCACUUAUAGAUGGAUCCGCGCCGCAUUAGCUAGUUGGUAAGGUAACGGCUUACCAAGGCAACGAUGCGUAGCCGACCUGAGAGGGUGAUCGGCCACCCUGGAACUGAGACACGGUCCAGACUCCUACGGGAGGCAGCAGUAGGGAAUCUUCCGCAAUGGGCGAAAGCCUGACGGAGCAACGCCGCGUGAGUGAUGAAGGUCUUCGGAUCGUAAAACUCUGCUAUUAGGGAAGAACAAAUGUGUAAGUAACUAUGCACGUCUUGACGGUACCUAAUCAGAAAGCCACGGCUAACUACGUG